AUUUUUUAGGAGUAAUUAAAAAUGAGUUCUGCUCAAUGUAUAAUAAAUAGCCGCAGUAUUUUGACUGUGCAAAGGUAGCAUAAUAAUUAGUCUUGUAAUUUAAGACUGGAAUGAAGGGAUAAACUAAAGAGUUUCUUUCUUAACUUUUUCUUUCAAACUUUACUUUUUAGUAAGAAGGCUAAAAUGUUUCUUUUAGACAAGAAGACCCUAUAAAACUUUACAUAAGAUAAUUUAAUAAAUUAAAAACAUGUUUCGCUGGGGCGGUGGAAAGAUAAACACUUUUAAAUUAUUAAAAUAUUACUAUUUUACUACCCAAAAAUUUUGAAGCUUAAAUAAGUUACUUUAGGGAUAACAGCGUAAUAUACUCUGAAAGCUCAAAUUGACAAGUAUGUUUGCGACCUCGAUGUUGGAUUAGAUUUCCUUUACUCCGCAAGAGGAGUGAAAAGGGGGUCUGUUCGACCCAUAAAAAUCUCCA
rnacentral:rRNA from 1 species